rnacentral:rRNA from 1 species
GACGAACGCUGGCGGCGUGCUUAACACAUGCAAGUCGAGCGGAAAGGCUCCUUCGGGGGUACUCGAGCGGCGAACGGGUGAGUAACACGUGAGUAAUCUGCCCUUGGCUUUGGGAUAGCCACCGGAAACGGUGAUUAAUACCGGAUACGACCACUCCUGGCAUCAGGUGGUGGUGGAAAGUUUUUCGGCCAGGGAUGUGCUCGCGGCCUAUCAGCUUGAUGGUGAGGUAAUGGCUCACCAUGGCUUCGACGGGUAGCCGGCCUGAGAGGGUGACCGGUCACACUGGGACUGAGACACGGCCCAGACGCCUACGGGAGGCAGCAGUGGGGAAUAUUGGACAAUGGGCGGAAGCCUGAUCCAGCAACGCCGCGUGAGGGAUGACGGCCUUCGGGUUGUAAACCUCUUUCAGCAGGGACGAAGCGCAAGUGACGGUACCUGCAGAAGAAGCACCGGCCAACUACGUGCCAGCCGCCGCGGUAAUAC